GACGAACCGUCCGAACGUUAUUCGGAAUUACUGGGCUUAAAGGGUGCGUAGGCGGCGCGGAAAGUAGGGUGUGAAAUCCCUCGGCUCAACCGAGGAACUGCGUCCUAAACUACCGUGCUCGAGGGAGAUAGAGGUGAGCGGAACUUAGGGUGGAGCGGUGAAAUGCGUUGAUAUCCUAAGGAACACCGGUGGCGAAAGCGGCUCACUGGAUCUCUUCUGACGCUGAGGCACGAAAGCUAGGGUAGCGAACGGG
rnacentral:rRNA from 1 species